CCCGAGGAAAAGAAAUCAACCGAGAUUCCCCCAGUAGCGGCGAGCGAACGGGGAGGAGCCCAGAGCCUGAAUCAGCAUGUGUGUUAGUGGAAGCGUCUGGAAAGGUGCGCGAUACAGGGUGACAGCCCCGUACACAAAAGCGCAUGUGCUGUGAGCUCGAUGAGUAGGGCGGGACACGUGGUAUCCUGUCUGAAUAUGGGGGGACCAUCCUCCAAGGCUAAAUACUCCUGACUGACCGAUAGUGAACCAGUACCGUGAGGGAAAGGCGAAAAGAACCCCGGCGAGGGGAGUGAAAAAGAACCUGAAACCGUGUACGUACAAGCAGUGGGAGCACAGGUUUACCUGUGUGACUGCGUACCUUUUGUAUAAUGGGUCAGCGACUUAUAUUCUGUAGCAAGGUUAACCGUAUAGGGGAGCCGUAGGGAAACCGAGUCUUAACCGGGCGUUAAGUUGCAGGGUAUAGACCCGAAACCCGGUGAUCUAGCCAUGGGCAGGUUGAAGGUUGGGUAACACUAACUGGAGGACCGAACCGACUAAUGUUGAAAAAUUAGCGGAUGACCUGUGGCUGGGGGUGAAAGGCCAAUCAAACCGGGAGAUAGCUGGUUCUCCCCGAAAGCUAUUUAGGUAGCGCCUCGUGAAUUCAUCUCCGGGGGUAGAGCACUGUUUCGGCUAGGGGGCCAUCCCGGCUUACCAACCCGAUGCAAACUGCGAAUACCGGAGAAUGUUAUCACGGGAGACACACGGCGGGUGCUAACGUCCGUCGUGAAGAGGGAAACAACCCAGACCGCCAGCUAAGGUCCCAAAGUCAUGGUUAAGUGGGAAACGAUGUGGGAAGGCCCAGACAGCCAGGAUGUUGGCUUAGAAGCAGCCAUCAUUUAAAGAAAGCGUAAUAGCUCACUGGUCGAGUCGGCCUGCGCGGAAGAUGUAACGGGGCUAAACCAUGCACCGAAGCUGCGGCAGCGAACGUAUCACCCAAGACAACUUUACGGAGUUGACGAUUGACGGAGCGAAGCGACGUCAAAGCGUUCAUUAAAGUCGAGUUGGCUUAGGGAUACGUUCGUUGGGUAGGGGAGCGUUCUGUAAGCCUGUGAAGGUGUGUCGUGAGGCAUGCUGGAGGUAUCAGAAGUGCGAAUGCUGACAUAAGUAACGAUAAAGCGGGUGAAAAGCCCGCUCGCCGGAAGACCAAGGGUUCCUGUCCAACGUUAAUCGGGGCAGGGUGAGUCGACCCCUAAGGCGAGGCCGAAAGGCGUAGUCGAUGGGAAACGGGUUAAUAUUCCCGUACUUGGUGUUACUGCGAAGGGGGGACGGAGAAGGCUAUGUUGGCCGGGCGACGGUUGUCCCGGUUUAAGCGUGUAGGUGUGUGUUCCAGGUAAAUCCGGUUCACUUUAACACUGAGGCGUGACGACGAGGCACUACGGUGCUGAAGCAACAAAUGCCCUGCUUCCAGGAAAAGCCUCUAAGCAUCAGGUAACACGAAAUCGUACCCCAAACCGACACAGGUGGUCAGGUAGAGAAUACCAAGGCGCUUGAGAGAACUCGGGUGAAGGAACUAGGCAAAAUGGUGCCGUAACUUCGGGAGAAGGCACGCUGACACGUAGGUGAAGUGAUUUACUCAUGGAGCUGAAGUCAGUCGAAGAUACCAGCUGGCUGCAACUGUUUAUUAAAAACACAGCACUGUGCAAACACGAAAGUGGACGUAUACGGUGUGACGCCUGCCCGGUGCCGGAA
rnacentral:rRNA from 1 species